rnacentral:rRNA from 1 species
UACGUAGGGUGCAAGCGUUGUCCGGAAUUAUUGGGCGUAAAGAGCUCGUAGGCGGCUUGGCAAGUCGGGUGUGAAACCUCCAGGCUCAACCUGGAGACGCCACUCGAUACUGCUAUGGCUAGAGUCCGGUAGGGGACCACGGAAUUCCUGGUGUAGCGGUGAAAUGCGCAGAUAUCAGGAGGAACACCGGUGGCGAAGGCGGUGGUCUGGGCCGGCACUGACGCUGAGGAGCGAAAGCGUGGGUAGCAAACAGG